GACAGAGGGUGCAAACGUUGCUCGGAAUUACUGGGCGUAAAGGGCGUGUGAGGCAGGGAAGGCAAGUCGGGCGUGAAAGCCCCAGGCUCAACCUGGGAACUGCACUCGAAACUGCCUUUCUUGAGUGCCGGAGAGGAAAGCGGAAUUCCUGGUGUAGAGGUGAAAUUCGUAGAUAUCAGGAGGAACACCAGUGGCGAAGGCGGCUUUCUGGACGGUAACUGACGCUGAGACGCGAAAGCGUGGGGAGCAAACAGG
rnacentral:rRNA from 1 species